rnacentral:misc_RNA from 1 species
UAGUCGUCUCCUUCACACGUUUUUCAGAAGGCGGAAGAAAAAAACUUCUCUUCGUCAACUUCUUCGUCAGCAAUGGCGGCGCUAUUCAAUUGCCGGCCGGAACUUAUCCACUUCUUCUCUAUUUUCUCCUUCUUCCUUCUCUUCCCCGUCGCUUUUUCCGACGAGCUUCAAACACUUCUAUCCAUCAAAUCUUCUUUAUCAAACCCCACCACAAAUGUAUUCCAAAAUUGGGAACCCAGUACUCCUCUCUGUAAGUUCACUGGCAUCACAUGUAAUUCCGAUGGGUCAGUCAAAGAAAUCGAGCUUUCGAAUCAAAAAAUUUCUGGGGUUGUUCCUUUUAAUAAAAUAUGUUCACUUACUUCAUUGGAAAAGCUCUCUCUGGGUUACAAUUCAUUUUCUGGGCAAGUUACUGAUGAUUUGAACAAGUGUGUUAGCUUGAAUUACUUGGAUGUUGGUAAUAAUGAAUUUACUGGGUCUUUUCCUGAUGUAUCUUCACUCAGUGAGUUAACUCAUUUUUAUGCAAAUAACAGUGGGUUUACAGGAAAAUUUCCAUGGAAUUCUGUGGCGAAUAUGAGAAAUUUGAUUGUGCUUAGCCUUGGUGAUAAUCAGUUUGAUCGAACUCCGUUCCCUGAAGUGAUUUUGAAGCUUAAUAAAUUGAAUUGGCUUUACUUAUCGAGUUGUAGGCUUGAAGGCGAAAUUCCUGAAGAAAUUGGUAAUCUUACAGAGCUGAUUAAUUUAGAGCUGUCGAUGAAUUACCUUACUGGUGAAAUUCCUUCGGGAAUUACGAAGCUGAAGAAAUUAUGGCAGCUUGAGUUGUAUGAAAAUCAGCUGACAGGGAAGUUGCCGGUUGGAUUUGGGAAUUUGACAAGUCUGGAGUAUUUUGAUGCUUCGACUAAUGAUCUGUAUGGUGAUUUGUCGGAAAUUCGAAAGUUGAAUCAAUUGGUAAGUUUGCAGUUAUUGCAGAACCAAUUUUCAGGGGAAGUACCAGCAGAGUUGGGAGAGUUCAAAAAGCUGGUGAACAUCUCUUUGUACACUAACAAAUUCACUGGUCAGCUUCCGCAGAAGUUGGGUUCUUGGGGGAAUUUUGAUUUCAUUGAUGUAUCAGAGAAUAGUUUCACUGGUCCAAUUCCACCGGACAUGUGUAAGAUGGGGACGAUGAGAGGAUUAUUGAUACUUAAGAACAAUUUCACUGGCGGAAUCCCUGAAACUUAUGCUAGUUGUACAUCAAUGACGCGUAUUCGAGUGAGCAAAAACUCACUCUCCGGUGUGAUUCCUGCCGGAAUUUGGGGGCUACCGAAGCUCGAAAUCCUUGAUGUUGCAAUGAAUGAGUUUGAAGGUACAAUUACUUCUGAUAUUGGAAAUGCAAAAACUUUAGGUGAAAUUGAUGCAGCUAAUAACAGAUUCUCUGGUAAAUUGCCUUUUAAUAUUUCAAAUGCUUCUUCGUUAGUGAAAAUUGAUUUAAGUAACAAUCAGUUUUCUGGUGAAAUUCCGGGAACGAUUGGGGAGCUUAAGAAGAUUGGUAAUCUUAAUUUACAGUACAACAAGUUUUCUGGUUCAAUACCAUAUUCGUUAGGCUCUUGUGUUUCACUAAGCGACAUUAACAUGGCUAACAAUUUGCUUAGUGGCUCUAUUCCGGUUUCGUUAGGAUCAUUACCGACUUUAACUUCAUUAAACUUGUCGGAGAAUCAGCUUUCAGGGCAAAUUCCGAAGAGUUUAUCAAAUCUGAAGUUAAAUCUUGUUGAUUUUUCCAACAAUCAGUUGACUGGAGAAAUACCAAAUUCUCUAUCAAUUGAUGCUUAUAAGGGUAGCUUUUCUGGGAAUAAUGGUCUUUGUAGCCAAAACCUUAAGAACUUCCGUCGAUGUUAUGGUGAAGCUGGAAAGCCUAGAGAAUGGUACACUCUUUUGAUCUGUUUAUUGGUGGCUGUGAUUGUGGUGCUCGUUUCAUUUGCGGGUUAUUUGUUCUUGAAGAAGAAGAGUUCUAAGGAACAUGAGAGGUCUUUGAAGCAAAAUUCUUGGAAUACGAAGUCGUUCCAUAUAUUGACCUUCACAGAGGAUGAUAUUCUUGAUGGAAUCAAACACGAUAAUUUGAUUGGAAAAGGUGGUUCUGGUAGUGUAUACAGAGUGCAGCUUUCAGAUGGAACAGAUUUCGCGGUGAAACAUAUUUGGACUUCUGAUUCAGGAAACAGGAAAAUAUCAGGAACAACAUCACCAAUGUUGGGAAAACCAGGGAAGAAAUCGAAGGAAUUUGAGGCUGAGGUUGAAACACUGAGCUCAAUUCGACAUGUGAAUGUGGUGAAAUUGUACUGUAGCAUAACGAGUGAUGACUCGAGCUUGUUGGUGUAUGAAUAUAUGCCAAAUGGGAGCUUGUGGGAUCGAUUGCAUACCUGCAAAAAGAUGUCACUUGAUUGGGAGACGAGGUACGAGAUAGCUCUUGGUGCAGCUAAAGGACUGGAAUAUUUACACCAUGGUUGUGAUAAGCCAGUGAUUCAUAGAGAUGUUAAAUCAAGUAACAUCUUGUUGGAUGAGUUUUGCAAGCCACGUAUCGCCGACUUUGGUCUUGCUAAGAUUGCUCAAGCUGAUUCAACCAAAGAUACAACUCAUGUCAUUGCUGGAACACAUGGAUAUAUUGCUCCUGAAUAUGGAUACACACACAAAGUGAAUGAAAAAAGUGAUGUAUAUAGUUUCGGAGUUGUAUUGAUGGAGCUUAUAUCUGGGAAAAGGCCAAUAGAAUCCGAAUACGGAGAGAAUGGCAACAUAGUUACAUGGGUGAGCAGCAAAUUGAAGAGCAAGGAAAGUGUAUUAAGCAUAGUGGAUUCAAGCAUUCCUGAAGCUUUCAAGGAAGAUGCAAUCGAAGUCUUGAGGAUUGCUAUUGUAUGCACAUCUAGGCUUCCCACAUUAAGGCCAACAAUGAGAAAUGUAGUCAAAAUGCUGGAAAAUGCAGAACCUUGCAGAUUAGUUGGGAUGAUUGUAAGCAAAGAUGAUGGUAGUAACAAGACAGAACAAUUGAAGGAUCACACCAAGAUGUAGCCUUUGUUCGUUUCACUCUUCAACCUGAUCUCUGUCCUCACGGAACGUCGAAUCUUGUAGCAGUAUGUAAAGUUUUGAAGAUGGCCUCUUGGCCUUGUAACAUAUAGUAGAGGCUAGAUUCAUAUUAGUAUAUUGAAUUAGAUUGAAUUUAGAGAUGCAUGGCAUAAGUGCUAUAAGAUGUAAUAUUACUUGUAUGAGCUAAAUAAAAAUGGUUA